rnacentral:rRNA from 1 species
UACGAAGGGGGCUAGCGUUGCUCGGAAUCACUGGGCGUAAAGGGCGCGUAGGCGGCCGCCUAAGUCAGACGUGAAAUCCCUCGGCUCAACCGGGGAACUGCGUCUGAUACUGGGUGGCUUGAAUCCGGGAGAGGGAUGCGGAAUUCCAGGUGUAGCGGUGAAAUGCGUAGAUAUCUGGAGGAACACCGGUGGCGAAGGCGGCAUCCUGGACCGGCAUUGACGCUGAGGCGCGAAAGCCAGGGGAGCAAACGGG